rnacentral:rRNA from 1 species
AUUCCAGCUCCAGUAGCGUAUACUAAAGUUGUUGCAGUUAAAAAGCUCGUAGUCGAACUUCGGGCCUGGCGGGACGGUCUGCCUUACGGUAUGUACUGUCUGGCCGGGUCUUACCUCUUGGUGAGGCCGUAUGCCCUUCAUUGGGUGUGCGGUGGAACCAGGAAUUUUACCUUGAGAAAAUUAGAGUGUUCAAAGCAGGCAAUUGCCCGAAUACAUUAGCAUGGAAUAAUAGAAUAGGACGUGCGGUUCUAUUUUGUUGGUUUCUAGGAUCGCCGUAAUGAUUAAUAGGAACGGUCGGGGGCAUUAGUAUUCCAUUGCUAGAGGUGAAAUUCUUAGAUUUAUGGAAGACUAACAACUGCGAAAGCAUUUGCCAAGGACGUUUUCAUCA